GCAGAAAUAGCCAACCGGGCUUAGAGCAAAGGACUGCAAAAAUCCUGGUGCCAGUGGUUCGAAUCCACUUCUAAGCG
rnacentral:tRNA from 1 species